AUGGAGGAAACUAGCGCCACCUUGCCCUUGGGAGUGGCAUGCACGACAAAUCUUCAUAGCGUACCAGCCCUCUCAGAGAUUAAUUCUGCUAUGCCUCCUUUUGAUGAAUUCUCUACGCCUAAGAAGAGACAAUGCUUUUCUCUAGAUGGUUCGUUGUAUAAACCUCUGUGUGAUGAUGCACUCAAACCAACAGUAGGCAUGACAUUUGAUGAUAUUGCUGUUGUGGAGACAUUUUAUAAGAAGUAUGCACAUCAUGUGGGAUUUGGUGUCCGUCUUGGAGCACAAAGGCUUGUGAACAAUGUAAUUCAGUGGAAGCGUUUCUUAUGCUCAAGGGAGGGAUACCGGUCCACGAAAGGUACUUAUGUUGUUAAUUGCUUGAACACAAAUACUUCAAGUAAAAGACGCAAGGUGAAAUUAACUAGGUGUGGAUGUGAUGCUCACAUUUAUGUCAAUCGGGAUGAUAAUGGGAAAUAUAAGAUAGCUUCAAUGGUUGAACACCACAAUCACGAACUAGUGUCUCCUAGCAAGCAACACUUGAUUAGAUCAAACAGGAAAGUAAGUGAGAAGGUGAAGUCAACACUAUUUGAUUGCCACAAAGCUAGCAUCGGCCCAGCCCAAGCAUAUAGGCUACUCCAAGUUGGUGAAGGGGGGUUUCCAGAUGUGGGAUGCAUGAAGAAAGACGUGCAGAAUUACUAUUCUAGGUUCAAAAAUAAAAUCAAGAAUUGUGAUGCUCAAAUGCUAGUGGACCAAUUUGGUAGAUUGAAGGAACUCAACCCUGGUUUUUUCUUUGACUAUGAAGUUGACGAAGUUGGUACAUUGUUGCGUUUGUUUUGGGCAGAUGCAACUAGCAGGAAAAACUACAAGCAUUUCCAUGAUGUGUUGUCCUUUGAUUCCACAUAUAGCACUAAUCAGUAUGACUACAUUUUUGCGCCCUUCACGGGCAUCAACCAUCAUAUGCAAAGUGUCUUCUUAGGGGGUGGGUUCUUACUCAAUGAGACAACUGAGGACUACUUAUGGUUGUUUGACAUAUUCCUUAAAUGCAUGGAUGGGGUUGCGCCUAGUGUUAUUAUAACAGAUGAGUGUGGUAGCAUGAGGAACGCUAUCAAGGCACUUCUACCCCAUACCACGCAUCGGUUGUGCAUGUGGCACAUUAUGAAGAAGGUUCCUGAGAAGGUCUCUCUCGAAUUGAGAAGUGAUGAAUUAUUCUACAAGAGGUUGGACUCGUGUGUGUGGAAUUCUGAAACACCUACAGAAUUCGAAGAAAGUUGGAAGUCUCUAAUAUCAGAUUUUGGCUUGCAAGAAAAUGAGUGGUUUGCAAAAUGUUACCUGAUUCGUGGGUCAUGGGUGCCAGCAUAUUUCAUGGACAUUGCCCUAGCUGGUAUUCUCAGAACCACCUCUAGGUCAGAGAGUGAAAACUCAUUUUUCAAGAAUUUCAUCCGUCGGAAGCUUGCAUUUGUUGAGUUUUGGCUUAGGUUCGACACAGCCUUGAAAUGUCAGAGGCAAGAGGAGUUGAUUGCUGACCACACAAGCGUACAUACAACACCUAGAUUGCAGACAUGUUGGGAAGUGGAAAGACAGGGCAGCAUACUUUUCACUCAUGAGGUCUUUGCCUUGUUUCAAUCAGAGGUACUUGCUGCUAGAGAGCAUUGUGAUGUCCAGGACACUAUGACUGUGGGAGAGCUGAAGAUUGUUUCCAUUAGUGAUCAAAGUCAUCGGAAAAACAAGGUAAGAGACGUGCAUUUAGAGACAACAACCAUGAUUGCUAAAUGUUCUUGCAAGCUCUUUGAGUCCAAGGGCAUUGUGUGCCGCCAUGUCAUACGCGUCUUGAGGGGUGCAAAGAUAAAUGAGCUUCCAACCUUUUAUGUACUCAAAAGAUGGGAGAAAAUGUGCAAAAGGGAUAUUGUAUUUGACAACGAAGGGAAUGCACUAGAAGAUAAUCCGAUUGACUGCAUUGACAUGGAUACUAGAAGAAAGAUCUCGAUGGCACGGAACAAAUUAGAAGAUAUCAUCCGAUGUGCUAAAAAAUCGAGCGUAGCACUUGACUCACUCAAUAUGGGUCUGUGCAAUCUUGAAUCUGUUGUCUUGCAGUCUGCCUCCGUUGUUCCUCAAACUACACAAGAAGAACAAGAAUCAUACGUCGGUAGCACCAUGCCUGUCCAAGUUGAUAUCCUAACACCGACCGCUGUCAAUGCGAGGGGUACAUGCUCACGAAUUAAGGGCCACAGAGACAAUGAAAAGAAGGCAGGGUCAAAUAAGAAGAAAUUAGGGGUUACUCUACGGGUACCGCGCACUUGCAGAACAUGCAAGGAAGUUGUGUUACAUGACAGUCGUAUCUGUCCGAAGAAAAAAUAA
rnacentral:rRNA from 1 species